UCGUUGGCGCGGGGCAGCGUAAAAUCGCGAACAAGCAAAGUUUUCAUCGAAAAGCAGUGACCUUGUGGCUUAUUUCUGUGGUUGACUACAAUCGUGCAACGAUGACUACGCGGGAAGUGAUCCAAAUCGCGUCGGAUGACAGUGGGACGGCGGAGGACGAGCAGCAAAGCCCCCCGACCAGCAGGAGCGAUCCCAGCAAACAUGGGAGCAGCUCGCGGAAACACAAAAAACAUAAGCGCCACAAGAAAUCCUCCAAGACGGACAAGGCGGAGAAGCUGUACAAAGCCAAAAAGCACAAAAAACACAAGCGAAAGCAUCGCGAGGAGGAUGACGCCGAGGAUGAUAGUGCGUCGGAUGUGGUGGAACUGGCGCGGAACGGUUCAAAAGCGGCCGAAGGGCGUAGCAAAUCGGCUGCCACCGACGGAACGACGUCGAAACGGCGUAGCCCUUCGGUAAGCGACGGCGAGGAGGGGCAUAGUUCCGAUGUAGGUCGGGAGAGGGACCGGGUGCGAUCGAAGAACAACAACGGCAGUGUGCGGACGGUGGUGGUUGAGAAACGCAAGGGCCACAUAUCGACGGAUCCGGACAAACUAGUGCAUCUGUUGACGCAGGAACUCGAGAAGCGCAAAGAGGACGUCGUAUCGGUGGAGAGCGAAAGCGAAGGCAGCGCCGUGGAAGAUGCACCCAGCCCGGACGUAGCGGUCAUCGAAGACGAUGAGCUCAAUCUAGAGGAGCUGAUGCGCCAGAAGGCACUGCUCCAGGCACGGUUGGGUGAGUAUGCGAGUGAUGAGGAAGAAGCCGACGGACGCAACAGAUCCUCCCGGUCGGUACCGGUCAAGAAAGCGAAAGUCGAUGGUCAAGCUGAUGGCGUGAUAACGAUAAUCGACGGAGACUCGACCCCGGACGAUGCGGAUCAGCCGGCCCGGAAAGCGUCGGCUGGUGGCACGAACCGUGCCUCUCGUGGCACCAAACAUGACCAAUCGGCCAGCAGUGGCACCGGUAGAAGCUUAAAUGAAUCCGACAAGCGGAUGAAAGAGCAACAGCAGGACCGCGGUUCGAAACACGCUGAACGUGAACGGGAACGCGAUCGUGAGCGUGCCCGGGAUGAGCGACGUAAUCGAGAGGAGGACAACUACAAGCGGCGCAUGGCGGAGGAAAGGUUCGAACGAGAGAAGGCCCGCGAACGGGAACGCGAUCGAGUGGAUAGGGACCGAGCGAGAGCACGUCAACGGGAUCAACGUGAUCGUUCGGUGGAACGGUAUCGAGAUCGUCGAGGCUAUUCUCCGCGGCUCGAUCGUGAUCGUGGUCGUGGUGGUCCCGGUGCGAUGGCAGGACGCGAUCGGUUCCAGCGGGGCCGCAGCCGUGAUCGUGAGUUGGUGCGCGGUGGUCCAGGUCGUUUUGACCGAGAACGGGACCGUGAUCGUGGUUGGGAUGUAAGGGAUCGCGAUCGUAAUAAUCGCGGUUGGCAGCGGAAUGGGCGCGAUGGCCGCGGUGAUGGUGGUGGUCGUGGAGGUAAGGCCAAUCGUAAGGCGGAAGACGAUCGAUUUAAGGACUCGCUCAGCGAGGGUCUUAAGCAGCACAAGGACUCGAGCAGCGACAGUGAAAUCGCGGACAUCGAUAUCGACGAUGAGGAGGACGAAGAGAAGAUCAUCGAGAAGCGGCGUAAGGAGCGGGAGGCGUUGCUUAAGAAACUGGGCGCGGUAAAUGAAGAUAGCAACACGGGCACGGAGGCGAUGGAACCGCCGGAACUGCGUCAACUGAGUGCUGCCAGUGCGGGACCGGCCUCGCGGAACGAAUCACCCGGCAACAGUCAGGAUGCGACGAUCGAAAUCGAUCAUUCGGACGAUGACCGGUCUGAUCAGUCGCUCACCCCACCGAUACCGAGCGAGCGCAAGGAUCUGAUGGAACAGGUAGAACGUAAGCUGAAAGAACCCAUCGAUGCAUCGAAAGACCUGGACAGGCAGAGUAAGGAACCGAAACAUACUGCGAAGGAAAAUGCUAAACGUCCCGAAUGGGACAUGUUUGCCGAACAGGACAUCGACUCCAACUUCGACUCACCCGGCACGGUGGUGGGCGGGAGCCGGCAGGCGCUCGAGAAUCCAGCCCUCACGGACAACUGGGACGACGCGGAAGGCUACUAUCGUGUCCGGAUCGGUGAGGUGCUCGACAACCGGUACGUGGUCGCCAACUACACCGGCCAGGGUGUGUUCAGUACGGUCGUGAAGGCACGCGAUCAGGCUCGCGGCAGUGCUUUCGUCGCUGUGAAGAUCAUCCGGAACAACGAGAUCAUGCAUAAAACGGGACUACGGGAGUUGGAGAUUCUGAAGAAACUGAACGAUGCUGAUCCCACGGAUCGCUAUCACUGUCUACGUUUGUAUCGACACUUCUUUCACAAACAGCAUCUGUGCAUGGUGCUGGAACCACUGUCAAUGAAUCUGCGCGAAGUGCUGAAAAAGUACGGCAAAAAUGUCGGUCUACACAUCAAAGCAGUGCGCAGCUAUACGCAGCAGUUGCUACUAGCGCUGAAGCUGCUGAAAAAGACCGGCAUCCUGCAUGCCGACAUCAAGCCGGACAAUAUUCUCGUGAACGAAAACAAUCUCGUGCUGAAGCUGUGCGAUUUCGGGUCCGCUUCAUCGAUCACCGAUAACGAAAUUACUCCCUAUCUCGUGUCACGCUUCUACCGUGCACCGGAGAUCAUACUCGGGCUCCCGUACGACUACGGUAUCGAUAUGUGGUCGGCCGGUUGCUCGAUCUACGAGCUGUACACCGGCAAGAUACUGUUCAGCGGCCAGUCCAACAAUCAGAUGCUGAAGGUGUUCAUGGAUCUCAAGGGCAAGAUUCCGAACAAGCUGAUACGGAAGGGUCAGUUUAAGGAUCAGCACUUUGAUCAGAACUGUAAUUUCCUGUCGCACGAGAUCGAUAAAAUCACCGAACGGGAAAAGAUUGUUGUCGUAUCGAUGAUAAAGGCGACCCGGGACUUGCAGCAGGAGCUGAUAGCAGGACAGAAUCUACCCGACGAUCAGAUACGCAAGGUAUCGCAGCUGCGCGAUCUGUUGGACAAAAUGUUCGCGCUGGAUCCAGCCAAACGGAUAUCGUUGAACCAUGCGCUGGCCCAUCCCUUCAUUCAGGACAAGCUGUAGAGGUGCAGAAAUCGACGAAGCGUGCGGAUUUGCCUAUACCAUCGCGAACAGCACUCUCGGCCCUUUUUCGGAUGGAUAAGCAUUCUGUAAACAACGCUCACUGCUAUAUAUAUAUAUUUACUAUACAUGCAUAUAUCAAUCCACAAACCUAUUCACAAUCCCUUUUCUUACCUUCACAACGAUCGGUGCUCGCGACGACCGCUUCAUGGUUUGAACCGAAGGAAGACGACCGGCCCUCCACGCAAAUGAACGUGCGAGCCUAGGUACCCGCCGUCAGAGAACCUUGUAGAGACCGUAAUCUCUAGUAUUUUUCGUGAUGCAAAAAUAACAGAGACAUAGAGCGAGAGCCAGAUUUGGAUGCCGUUGAGUGUGAAGCGGUCAAGCAUAAUGACGAACCAUCAUCACCACCGACGGAACGCACAGUCAUUGUGCCCAAGAUUGGUUCAAAAUGGAUGUCAUCUCAUGGAAGCCACAAAAAAAAAUGCGGAUCGUGUCGCACAGAGUGCUGCCCACCGGCGGGUAUUCACUGCGCGGGGCUCCCUCCCUCAGCGGCUCGAAACCGAGGCAAGAGCAAUGGGAGCGUAAUGGCCGUGUCAGAGAGGUAGUGAUGACGUUGUACUCCUUUGAUUUCCUUUUCUUUCGAUUAUACUGUUACUGUUUUGAGCAUUUAACACUUCAGCGACCAUUUUCAGCAGAGAAGCGUAUGUGUCCCAUCAUUAGUGAGAUGCGUGUAGAGCGGUGUAGAGUAGUAUUUCUCAAAAAUGAUUCCCUUUGAUUGCCAUCCCGUAUCACACUCCCAUGCUCUCUCUUUACCAAUGCUCCUUGCCUCACUCAUACCAGUUCUCUCUGCGAGUACUCUCUUUUCCAUACCAUGCACCCUUUGUUCGAUCUGUUCAUACCGACUCUCUGUCCACUUUUCAACCGUUCCGAUAGCUCCAGUUGGUUGUUUGGAUUGGAUGGUGCUGGCUAUAUCACAGAGCCUAGUUGUCCUUUCUCGUGCUACGUACGUGCGGCAGGGCGCGGUAACUUCCGGAUCAAGCCGAGCAUGCCGAGGGAACGCUCAUGAUUGAUCAGGUUGUUAUGUGUAGUCGAUCCAACAUUUGCUUGAGAGCGUCAGUUACUCGUCUCGUGCGUUGUAUUCACUUCUUUUCAGCUUGAAAGCGGUAGUGCCCUAAACGGAUCCACUGGAGAGCCUUGGAGAGGACUGGCGAGAAGGAUGGUAAACUCUGCGGUCUUAUAUGGAUCUGCUGAUCAUCCAUCAUGUGCCGGAGACGAGAAAUCAUUUUACGCAACUCCUUUUCGAGGGCCAACAAAACGGAGUGCCGAAUGCACGAAUCUAUCAAUCAAUCAGUGCGGAGGUAAGUCUCCAUUAAAGUAAAGUCAUCCGAAUCCUCGCCGUGGCAAGUGUUUAGGUGACAUCGAAUCGUAGGAAUAAUCAUUGUUGGAGCGAACUGGUGUGCACUUGAAGGUGUUGGAAUCUGAACACAUAGUGGAAUAAAUCGUUUCUCCAAGAGA